rnacentral:sRNA from 1 species
ACAUCGACGGAGACCACGUUACCGUGGAC